rnacentral:lncRNA from 1 species
GACGUGGUCCCCUGGAGGCCAUCUUUGGAGACCGGAUCCCACCUCAGAUGUUAAAAGUUUUUAAAAAGACCCGCACCUCUGGCAGCGUGGAUCUCUGGUGACAACGGCAGCAAAGACAACAAGGUGCGGGGGAACCCGGCUCUGACACUCACGCGGGUAAGAGUUUGCUUUCUUG